rnacentral:lncRNA from 1 species
UUUUAUUGGGUCAAACUAAUUAUUUAUUUAUAUGGGCUAAUAAAUAUUAAUAUGUGAUGGAUAAAUAAUUUGGUAAAAUUUGGGCCAUAAAAAUAAUUAGAUUUAUUAUAAUAUAGAAUUAACAAGACAUAUUAAUAAGUAAACAAAUAACUAAAAAGACCUAAUCUGAAUUGGUGAGGGAAAAAGCCGCCGUUCGAAAGCUUCCAAUAGAAAGAGGAAAGAGAUUUGUUCAACAAAGGUGAGAUAAAAUCUUGAAACUCUCAUAUCAAUUGUAAAGAUUAUGUAUGUAUAAUAUAUGAAAAUAGAAAAUAUAUGAUGUGUAUGUGUUACUGUUAAUAUAUGAUUAUGCAUGUAUAAUAUAUGAAAUUACUGUUAAUUUUUGAAAAUAUAUAAAAGAUUACUUGUUAAGGGUAUGGGAGAGUUUAAUAAAUAAAAGAAAAUAAGAUUACAUGUUAAAGUUUGACAAUUGGAUGUUUACUUUUGAAUCGGUUGACGGGAAGUUGUGAAUAAAGGAAGAAAAAGACAAGUAAAUAAGUAGAAGUUGGACGGUGUGCAUUGGAAAGAACGAAGCAGAAGUCUGAGCACACUAAUUUUAUUAUUUUAAUAAUAUAGUAUAACUUCUAUAAAUUAAUAUUUGAUAAAUUAAUAAUUUUUUUAAAAUAAUAUUUUUUUCAGUCUCAGCUUGGGCUAAUGGAAUAAAUUA